GCGACCCCAGGAUGGGCGAGGUCACCCGCUGAGUUUAAGCAUAUCAAUAAGCGGAGGAGA
rnacentral:rRNA from 1 species